rnacentral:rRNA from 1 species
AGUGAACGCUGGCGGUAGGCCUAACACAUGCAAGUCGAACGGCAGCACAGUAAGAGCUUGCUCUUACGGGUGGCGAGUGGCGGACGGGUGAGGAAUACAUCGGAAUCUACUUUUUCGUGGGGGAUCACGUAGGGAAACUUACGCUAAUACCGCAUACGACCUACGGGUGAAAGCAGGGGAUCUUCGGACCUUGCGCGAUUGAAUGAGCCGAUGUCGGAUUAGCUAGUUGGCGGGGUAAAGGCCCACCAAGGCGACGAUCCGUAGCUGGUCUGAGAGGAUGAUCGGCCACACUAGAACUGGGACACGGUCCAGACUCCUACGGGAGGCAGCAGUGGGGAAUAUUGGACAAUGGGCGCAAGCCUGAUCCAGCCAUACCGCGUGGGUGAAGAAGGCCUUCGGGUUGUAAAGCCCUUUUGUUGGGAAAGAAAAGCAGCAGGUUAAUACCCCGCUGUUCUGACGGUACCCAAAGAAUAAGCACCGGCUAACUUCGUG